rnacentral:misc_RNA from 1 species
GAUGAAGAACGUAGCGAAAUGCGAUAAGUAAUGUGAAUUGCAGAAUUCAGUGAAUCAUCGAAUCUUUGAACGCACAUUGCGCCCGCCAGUAUUCUGGCGAGCAUGCCUGUUCGAGCGUCAUUUCAACCAUCAAGCCCCAGGCUUGUGUUGGAGCCCUGCGGCUGCCGCAGCCUCCCAAAACCAGUGGCGGGCUCGCUAUCACACCGAGUGCAGUAGUUUACUCUUCGCUCAGGGCGUGUGGCGGGUGCUAGCCGUGAAACCCCCAACUUCUCUAGGUUGACCUCGGAUCAGGUAGGAAAACCCGCUGAACUUAAGCAUAUCAAUAAGCGGAGGA